rnacentral:tRNA from 1 species
UCCCUGGUGGUCAAGGUGUUAAGACUCUGCACUUCCAAUGCAGGGGGCACAGGUUUGAUCCCUGGUCGGGGAA